GGCUUAAUGGUCUAGUGGUAUGAUUCUUGCUUUGGGUUUCACCGAUCACAAUUGCAAGAGGUCCUUGGUAAGCAUUGACACACCACGUCAUAGCUUGGUAUCACCUGCUAACUUCAUCCAGGUUCAAUUCCGAGUUGAGCCC